rnacentral:rRNA from 1 species
GACGAACGCUGGCGGCGUGCUUAACACAUGCAAGUCGAACGGAAAGGCCCUGCUUGCAGGGUACUCGAGUGGCGAACGGGUGAGUAACACGUGGGUGAUCUGCCCUGCACUUCGGGAUAAGCCUGGGAAACUGGGUCUAACACCGGAUAGGAGCCAUUUUUAGUGUGAUGGUUGGAAAGUUUUUUCGGUGUAGGAUGAGCUCGCGGCCUAUCAGCUUGUUGGUGGGGUAAUGGCCUACCAAGGCGGCGACGGGUAGCCGGCCUGAGAGGGUGGACGGCCACAUUGGGACUGAGAUACGGCCCAGACUCCUACGGGAGGCAGCAGUGGGGAAUAUUGCACAAUGGGCGCAAGCCUGAUGCAGCGACGCCGCGUGGGGGAUGACGGCCUUCGGGUUGUAAACUCCUUUCGCUAGGGACGAAGCUUUUGUGACGGUACCUAGAUAAGAAGCACCGGCUAACUACGUG